rnacentral:rRNA from 1 species
UACGAAGGGGGCUAGCGUUGUUCGGAAUCACUGGGCGUAAAGCGUGCGCAGGCGGUGAUGUAAGACAGUUGUGAAAUCCCCGGGCUCAACCUGGGAACUGCAUCUGUGACUGCAUCGCUGGAGUGCGGCAGAGGGGGAUGGAAUUCCGCGUGUAGCAGUGAAAUGCGUAGAUAUGCGGAGGAACACCGAUGGCGAAGGCAAUCCCCUGGGCCUGCACUGACGCUCAUGCACGAAAGCGUGGGGAGCAAACAGG